rnacentral:rRNA from 1 species
UGGGGAAUAUUGCACAAUGGGCGCAAGCCUGAUGCAGCCAUGCCGCGUGUGUGAAGAAGGCCUUCGGGUUGUAAAGCACUUUCAGCGAGGAGGAAGGUGGUGAGCUUAAUACGCUCAUCAAUUGACGUUACUCGCAGAAGAAGCACCGGCUAACUCCGUGCCAGCAGCCGCGGUAAUACGGAGGGUGCAAGCGUUAAUCGGAAUUACUGGGCGUAAAGCGCACGCAGGCGGUUUGUUAAGUCAGAUGUGAAAUCCCCGGGCUCAACCUGGGAACUGCAUUUGAAACUGGCAAGCUAGAGUCUCGUAGAGGGGGGUAGAAUUCCAGGUGUAGCGGUGAAAUGCGUAGAGAUCUGGAGGAAUACCGGUGGCGAAGGCGGCCCCCUGGACGAAGACUGACGCUCAGGUGCGAAAAGCGUGGGGAGCAAAACAGGAUUAGAUACCCUGGUAGUCCACGCUGUAAACGAUGUCGAUUUUGGAGGUUGUGCCCUUGAGGCGUGGCUUCCGGAGCUAACG